rnacentral:misc_RNA from 1 species
CACAAUAAAAUAUGAAGGCUGUACGCGGCUGUGCUCUCGGGCCAGUUUUGCGGAGGCUGAAUUAUUUAUUACCCUUGUUUUUUGCGCACUUGUUGUUUCCUGGGCGGGUUCGCCCGCCACCAGGACCACAUCAUAAACCUUUUUUAUGCAGUUGCAAUCAGCGUCAGUAUAACAAAUGUAAAUCAUUUA